rnacentral:tRNA from 1 species
GCACUGGUAGUUCAGUGAUAGAAUUCUCACCUUCCAUGCGGGAGAUCUGGGUUUGAUUCCUGGCCAAUGCA